rnacentral:rRNA from 1 species
AGUGAACGCUGGCGGUAGGCCUAACACAUGCAAGUCGAACGGCAGCACAGUAAGAGCUUGCUCUUACGGGUGGCGAGUGGCGGACGGGUGAGGAAUACAUCGGAAUCUACUUUUUCGUGGGGGAUAACGUAGGGAAACUUACGCUAAUACCGCAUACGACCUACGGGUGAAAGCAGGGGAUCUUCGGACCUUGCGCGAUUGAAUGAGCCGAUGUCGGAUUAGCUAGUUGGCGGGGUAAAGGCCCACCAAGGCGACGAUCCGUAGCUGGUCUGAGAGGAUGAUCAGCCACACUGGAACUGAGACACGGUCCAGACUCCUACGGGAGGCAGCAGUGGGGAAUAUUGGACAAUGAGCGCAAGCCUAAUCCAGCCAUACCGCGUGGGUGAAGAAGGCCUUCGGGUUGUAAAGCCCUUUUGUUGGGAAAGAAAAGCAGCAGGUUAAUACCCCGCUGUUCUGACGGUACCCAAAGAAUAAGCACCGGCUAACUUCGUG